rnacentral:lncRNA from 1 species
AAAGUCCAUAUGCAUUAAGAUGUGAAACUGUGUAGCAAGUAUAACACAUGCUCAGAGUGUAUAUUUUGGAUAAUCAGGCUGGACUGGAAUUAUUAGUUCCAAGAAGAAUGCUGGACAAUUUGGAUGUCAUCUAAGAAGAUUCUAGAAUUCUCACUCUCUAUGAAGUACAAAUGAGAGAAAGAAAAAGGGCUGUGGUGCUGACAGCUUUCAGGGAAUAAGAUGGAUUGGCCAGCAAGGUUUCAAUAGAGAGCCCUGGUCUAGGCUUGGAUAACCAGUGGGAUGCUGACGUGACUUGGUCUCUUCUGGUCAGAUCCCCACCAUGCAGGACACCAGGGAUUAGAGUUGUACCCUGCACCCUGGGGAAGUCACCAAACUCAGAUAUCAGGACUGUGUAGUGACUGUCAGAAGGCUGACCCCAAACUCUGAGAUUUCAAUCACUCCCAGGAAUUCCAUGGCAUGAGACUGCCAUCAGAGUAGCAGAGAGGCCAGACUUUGAGCUCACAAAGCCCAGGGUAGACACCAUUAAUGGGCUGGGCACCAGAAGACCCUCCACGAGUGUCUGCCAUGCAUCUGAAAAUAGGACAUGACGCUGAGUGGAGAGACAGCAAGAAGGCUCUGGAAAUUUUUUUGCCAGCUUAACAGAUAAUGUACAUAGAAUUAGAUUCAACUUGAGUUAUAGAGAAAAUAAGAGAUAAAAUAAAGAAAUGUAACAUUCUUUGCUUAUCCAACUUUCAAGAAUAAGAGCUAUUUUCCAUACAGUGGUGUUUGCCACUGAAGCGGAGAGUGGUAGUCAGCUUGGACUGCCAAACAAAAUAUCAUAGACUGGGUGGCUUGAACUACAAAUAUCUUUCUGACUGUUCUGGAGGCAGGGAAGUCCAAGGUACCGGCAAGAAGAUAGAGUUGGAUUAUUUUGGAAGAGUGACCUAUGACCUGGAAGUCUGGAUCCCACAACAUUUGACCCAAAUCCCAAAUGUUUACUUUUUC